GUGCUCGCUUUGGCAGCACAUAUACUAAAAUUGAAAUGAUACAGAGAAGAUUAGCAUGGGCCCUGCACAAGGAUGACACGCAAAUUCAUGAAGCAUUCCACAUUUUU
rnacentral:snRNA from 1 species